GAUGAACGCUGGCGGCGUGCCUAAUACAUGCAAGUCGAGCGAACAGAUGAGGAGCUUGCUCCUCUGACGUUAGCGGCGGACGGGUGAGUAACACGUGGAUAACCUACCUAUAAGACUGGGAUAACUUCGGGAAACCGGAGCUAAUACCGGAUAAUAUAUCGAACCGCAUGGUUCAAUAGUGAAAGACGGUUUUGCUGUCACUUAUAGAUGGAUCCGCGCCGCAUUAGCUAGUUGGUAAGGUAACGGCUUACCAAGGCAACGAUGCGUAGCCGACCUGAGAGGGUGAUCGGCCACACUGGAACUGAGACACGGUCCAGACUCCUACGGGAGGCAGCAGUAGGGAAUCUUCCGCAAUGGGCGAAAGCCUGACGGAGCAACGCCGCGUGAGUGAUGAAGGUCCUCGGAUCGUAAAACUCUGUUAUUAGGGAAGAACAAAUGUGUAAGUAACUAUGCACGUCUUGACGGUACCUAAUCAGAAAGCCACGGCUAACUACGUG
rnacentral:rRNA from 1 species